UAAGGAAUAUUGGACAAUGGAGGCAACUCUGAUCCAGCCAUGCCGCGUGAAGGAAUAAGGCCCUACGGGUUGUAAACUUCUUUUAGACGGGACAAAACCCCUUUACGUGUAAAGGGUUGAUGGUACUGUCAGAAUAAGCAUCGGCUAACUUCGUGCCAGCAGCCGCGGUAAUACGAAGGAUGCAAGCGUUAUCCGGAAUUAUUGGGUUUAAAGGGUGCGUAGGCGGACUAAUAAGUCAGUGGUGAAAGCCUGCAGCUUAACUGCAGAAUUGCCAUUGAUACUAUAGGUCUUGAAUUAUCUGGAGGUAAGCGGAAUAUGUCAUGUAGCGGUGAAAUGCUUAGAUAUGACAUAGAACACCAAUUGCGAAGGCAGCUUACUACAUAUAAAUUGACGCUGAGGCACGAAAGCGUGGGGAUCAAACA
rnacentral:rRNA from 1 species